GCCAUGGCUGGGUGUAGGUGAGAACAGUAACUGGGGCCAUGGCUGGGUGUAGGUGAGAACAGUAACUGGGGCCAUGGCUGGGUGUAGGUGAGAACAGUAACUGGGGCCAUGGCUGGGUGUAGGUGAGAACAGUAACUCGGGGCCAUGGCUGGGUGUAGGUGAGAACAGUAACUCAGGGGCCAUGGCUGGGUGUAGGUGAGAACAGUAACUCAGGGGCCAUGGCUGGGUGUAGGUGAGAACAGUAACUCAGGGGCCAUGGCUGGGUGUAGGUGAGAACAGUAACUGGGGCCAUGGCUGGGUGUAGGUGAGAACAGUAACUGGGGCCAUGGCUGGGUGUAGGUGAGAACAGUAACUGGGGCCAUGGCUGGGUGUAGGUGAGAACAGUAACUGGGGCCAUGGCUGGGUGUAGGUGAGAACAGUAACUGGGGCCAUGGCUGGGUGUAGGUGAGAACAGUAACUGGGGCCAUGGCUGGGUGUAGGUGAGAACAGUAACUGGGGCCAUGGCUGGGUGUAGGUGAGAACAGUAACUGGGGCCAUGGCUGGGUGUAGGUGAGAACAGUAACUCGGGGCCAUGGCUGGGUGUAGGUGAGAACAGUAACUGGGGCCAUGGCUGGGUGUAGGUGAGAACAGUAACUCAGGGGCCAUGGCUGGGUGUAGGUGAGAACAGUAACUGGGGCCAUGGCUGGGUGUAGGUGAGAACAGUAACUGGGGCCAUGGCUGGGUGUAGGUGAGAACAGUAACUGGGGCCAUGGCUGGGUGUAGGUGAGAACAGUAACUGGGGCCAUGGCUGGAUGUAGGUGAGAACAGUAACUCGGGGCCAUGGCUGGGUGUAGGUAAGAACAGUAACUCAGGGGCCAUGGCUGGGUGUAGGUGAGAACAGUAACUCAGGGGCCAUGGCUGGGUGUAGGUGAGAACAGUAACUCAGGGGCCAUGGCUGGGUGUAGGUGAGAACAGUAACUGGGGCCAUGGCUGGGUGUAGGUGAGAACAGUAACUGGGGCCAUGGCUGGGUGUAGGUGAGAACAGUAACUCGGGGCCAUGGCUGGGUGUAGGUGAGAACAGUAACUGGGGCCAUGGCUGGGUGUAGGUGAGAACAGUAACUCAGGGGCCAUGGCUGGGUGUAGGUGAGAACAGUAACUCAGGGGCCAUGGCUGGGUGUAGGUGAGAACAGUAACUGGGGCCAUGGCUGGGUGUAGGUGAGAACAGUAACUCAGGGGCCAUGGCUGGGUGUAGGUGAGAACAGUAACUGGGGCCAUGGCUGGGUGUAGGUGAGAACAGUAACUGGGGCCAUGGCUGGGUGUAGGUGAGAACAGUAACUCGGGGCCAUGGCUGGGUGUAGGUGAGAACAGUAACUCAGGGGCCAUGGCUGGGUGUAGGUGAGAACAGUAACUCAGGGGCCAUGGCUGGGUGUAGGUGAGAACAGUAACUGGGGCCAUGGCUGGGUGUAGGUGAGAACAGUAACUCAGGGGCCAUGGCUGGGUGUAGGUGAGAACAGUAACUCAGGGGCCAUGGCUGGGUGUAGGUGAGAACAGUAACUGGGGCCAUGGCUGGGUGUAGGUGAGAACAGUAACUGGGGCCAUGGCUGGGUGUAGGUGAGAACAGUAACUGGGGCCAUG